AGCGAACGCUGGCGGCAGGCUUAACACAUGCAAGUCGAGCGGGCACCUUUCGGGGUGUCAGCGGCGGACGGGUGAGUAACGCGUGGGAACGUGCCCUCUGGUUCGGAAUAACUCAGGGAAACUUGAGCUAAUACCGGAUACGCCCUUUUGGGGAAAGGCUUGCUGCCGGAGGAUCGGCCCGCGUCUGAUUAGCUAGUUGGUGAGGUAACGGCUCACCAAGGCGACGAUCAGUAGCUGGUCUGAGAGGAUGAUCAGCCACACUGGGACUGGGACACGGCCCAGACUCCUACGGGAGGCAGCAGUGGGGAAUAUUGGACAAUGGGCGCAAGCCUGAUCCAGCCAUGCCGCGUGAGUGAUGAAGGCCUUAGGGUUGUAAAGCUCUUUUAUCCGGGACGAUAAUGACGGUACCGGAGGAAUAAGCCCCGGCUAACUUCGUG
rnacentral:rRNA from 1 species